AGCGCAGGCGGUUAGGUCAGUCUGAAGUGAAAGCCCGGGGCUCAACCCCGGAAGUGCUUUGGAUACUGCCUAACUUGAGUGUGUCAGAGGAAAGCGGAAUUCCAGGUGUAGCGGUGAAAUGCGUAGAUAUCUGGAGGAACAUCGGUGGCGAAAGCGGCUUUCUGGGACAUUACUGACGCUGAGGCUCGGAAGCGUGGGGAGCGAACAGGAUUAGAUACCCUGGUAGUCC
rnacentral:rRNA from 1 species